rnacentral:misc_RNA from 1 species
GAUGAAGAACUUAGCGAAAUGCGAUAAGUAAUGUGAAUUGCAGAAUUCAGUGAAUCAUCGAAUCUUUGAACGCACAUUGCGCCCGUCAGUAUUCUGGCGGGCAUGCCUGUUCGAGCGUCAUUACGCCCCUCAAGUCCCCUGUGGACUUGGUGUUGGGGAUCGGCGAGGCUGGUUUUCCAGCACAGCCGUCCCUUAAAUUAAUUGGCGGUCUCGCCGUGGCCCUCCUCUGCGCAGUAGUAAAACACUCGCAACAGGAGCCCGGCGCGGUCCACUGCCGUAAAACCCCCCAACUUUUUAUAGUUGACCUCGAAUCAGGUAGGACUACCCGCUGAACUUAAGCAUAUCAAUAAAGCGGAGGA